GAUCAUGGCUCAGGACGAACGCUGGCGGCGUGCUUAACACAUGCAAGUCGAACGAAGAGCGAUGGAAGCUUGCUUCUAUCAAUCUUAGUGGCGAACGGGUGAGUAACGCGUAAUCAACCUGCCCUUCAGAGGGGGACGAACAGUUGGAAACGACUGCUAAUACCGCAUACGAUCUAAUCUCGGCAUCGAGGAUAGAUGAAAGGUGGCCUCUACAUGUAAGCUAUC
rnacentral:rRNA from 1 species